UAGCAUAUUAUAAAAAUCAAACACCCCAACCAUAAACAGAACCGCAUUUUAUUUAGUUAUUUGGUUGACAAGAACAGAACCCCAUUUUAAAAGAAACAGUCGCUUAUUGAACUCAUAUGAUGGUCCAUCCCCAACAGCAAAGGAACCCCAUUUCACUAUAGAAAAUGUAAAAUAAAAAUAAAAAAGCAAGAAUUGAACAUGUGUACCAAGUAGCUCGUAGCACCAAGUGGUAUUUCUCUUUGAAUGUUGGAAGAAGUAGUCCGAAACUCAGUGGCCACAGAAUGAAUUGUAUCGUAUGUCUGCAAUGAAGUGAGAAGGAGAAGGACAACUUCUGUAGUGUGGAUAAGUUACCUGAAACUUCUUUCUCGACUCACUCAUUUCACUAAAGCUUCCUUCCCUUUUCGUCCGGUCAACCACUAAUCUCAGCUGAGCUUCUCUGCAGGCAAUUGAAUUAGUAUUAUUAUUGCCUUCAGUUCAGUUUAUGAUUAUAUUUCGGGC
rnacentral:lncRNA from 1 species